rnacentral:rRNA from 1 species
UAGGGAAUAUUGGUAAUGUGCGAAAGCGCGAACCAGCAACGCCGCGUGCACGAUGAAGGCCUUCGGGUCGUAAAGUGCUUUUAGAGAGGAUGAGGAAGGACAGUACUUUCUGAAUAAGCCUCGGCUAACUACGUGCCAGCAGCCGCGGUAAAACGUAGGAGGCUAGCGUUAUCCGGAUUUACUGGGCGUAAAGCGCAUGCAGGUGGUUUUGCAAGUUGGAUGUGAAAGCUCCUGGCUUAACUGGGAGAGGUCGUUCAAUACUUUCGAGCUAGAGGAUGGGAGAGGGAGGUGGAAUUCCGGGUGUAGUGGUGAAAUGCGUAGAUAUCCGGAGGAACACCUGUGGCGAAGGCGGCCUCCUGGCCCAUUUCUGACGCUCAGACGCGAAAGCUAGGGUAGCAAACG